AUUGAACGCUGGCGGCAGGCCUAACACAUGCAAGUCGAACGCGUGGCGGACGGGUGAGUAAUGUCUGGGACCAUGCCUGAUGGCGGGGGAUAACUACUGGAAACGGUAGCUAAUACCGCAUACCAUCAGAUGUGCCCAGGUGGGAUUAGCUAGUUGGUGGGGUAACGGCUCACCAAGGCUACGAUCCCUAGCUGGUCUGCGAGGAUGACCGGCCACACUGGAACUGAGACACGGUCCAGACUCCUACGGGAGGCAGCAGUGGGGAAUAUUGCACAAUGGGCGAAAGCCUGACGCAGCAAUGCCGCGUGUAUGAAGAAGGCCUUCGGGUUGUAAAGUACUUUCAUCAGGGAGGCGUUACCCGCAGAAAAAGCACCGGCUAACUCCGUGCCAGCAGCCGCGGUAAUAC
rnacentral:rRNA from 1 species